GAUAAACGCUGGCGGCGUGCAUAACACAUGCAAGUCGAACGAUGAAACUUAACUGAUUUCUUCGGAAUGAAUUUAAGUGGAUUAGUGGCGGACGGGUGAGUAACGCGUGAGUAACCUGCCUUGCACAAGGGGAUAGCCGUUGGAAACGACUGCUAAUACCGCAUAAUGCUUUUGAGCGGCAUCGCUUGAAAGCCAAAGAUUUAUCGCUGAAAGAUGGUCUCGCGUCUGAUUAGCUAGUUGGUGAGGUAACGGCUCACCAAGGCGACGAUCAGUAGCCGGUCUGAGAGGAUGAACGGCCACAUUGGGACUGAGACACGGCCCAA
rnacentral:rRNA from 1 species